CAAAUUCGUGUCUUUUUUCCAAAGAUAGUGGACAUGUUCAGAAUGUGCGAGGAUUUAGAGAACUUAUAUGAUCUUCACAUGAUUUUCAAAUUAGUCGAGGGAAUAAUAUUGUUGAACAGUCCAUCGAUCUUUGACAAGAUCUUCUCUGAUGAGUUUAUUCUUGACAUAAUAGGUGCCCUUGAAUAUGACCCAGAGGUUCCAAGAGUGCAAAGGCACCUUGCUUCUCAAGGAUCAUGUAGUUUUUAAAGAGGUAUUCUGAGUUUUGUUGCACAUAUUUCCUG